UGAGGCCGGAUUCCAUUUACUUCUUCCAUGUUGCAGGAGAAGGUUGUGUUGGCAUCACUAAUGUUUGGAGCCAUCAUGUUUGUACCAGGCUAUAUUAUGGUGAACAUCAAGCACUACAAAGCAGGCAAUUAGACGAUGUCUCCAGGACAUUAGAUUAUAAUGUUAGAUGCAUAUUCCUGUGGUUAUAUACGUCGAUGGAACAAGACAAGAUGCUCUUCUACCAAUUUGUUCGCAGUAUUUUAUGGAUGAUAAGCAUAUAAUAUAGUUUACUUUGAGUGUGUUUCAUGAAAUAAAAAGAAUGUACUAAAUUUUCAGUUAUCAAUUUUCAAUUCCUCAGUUAGUGUCAAUAAAUGAAUAUGUAAAAAAGGCUUUAAA